rnacentral:rRNA from 1 species
GACGAACGCUGGCGGCGUGCCUAACACAUGCAAGUCGAACGGUAACGCAGUGUGCUUGUACCCUCUGGGUGAGCAGCGAACGGGUGAGUAACGCGUGGAUCAUCUUCUUUUUUUUGGGGGACAACAUCGGGAGACGAAUUAUAAUACUACAUAAAACCAUUAAACACAAGAAUCAAGUUAUCAUGAUGCCAUUGCAGCACUCAAAGAUGAUCCGGCGUUUUGUUAGCUAGUUGGUGAGGUAAAGGCUCACCAAGGCGAGGAUACGUAGCCGGUCUGAGAGGAGGAUCGGCAACAUGGGAACGGGAACCGGCUCAAAACUCCUACGGGAGGCAGCAGUGGGAAAUAUUGGACAAUGGCGGCAAGCCUGACGCACCAAGACGGCGUGGGGAAGAAAGUUCUCGGGGUGGAAAAGCCCGUUUGUUGGGAAGGACGAGCGUGAGGGUGAAAAGCCGCUGUAGUGACGGUAACCAAAGAAAAAGCAACGGCUAACUACGUG